rnacentral:rRNA from 1 species
AAAGACUUGACGGUGCUUUAAAGCAACCUAGAGGAGCCUGUCUAAUAACCGAUACCCCACGAUUAACCCUACCUACUCUUGCCUAACAGUCUAUAUACCGCCGUCACCAGCUUACCUUGUGAAAGAGACAAAGUAAACAAAACAGGAUAUCCCUAAUACGACAGGUCGAGGUGUAACUAAUGAGUAGGGAAAAGAUGGGCUACAUUUUCUAAUACAGAAUAUACGAACAAACUAUGAAACAAGAAACUGAAGGUGGAUUUAGCAGUACGUUAAGGACAAAAUACUUAACCGAAAACAACGCAAUGAAGUGCGUACACACCGCCCGUCAUCCCUG